CAAAUCCUAGGUUUCUAGGGCACUUUUAACAGCUGCAGAGUGUACAAGUAGGUUAAUGUAACCUCAGAUUUGCCUUUCAUACCCUUGUCAUGUUAACAGCAGACUGCUGACCUCAACUGGGGACUCCUGAUUUUUCCGAUGUAUCUGUGAUGGAUGGAGAAUGAAGCAGACCCAUGUCAUGUAUGAAACAGGAAGAAGUGGCAUAGUUACGUGGUUAAGGGCACUGGAGCCUGAUUUUCACAAAGACAGCUGAAGUCAAUAAAACCUGCAGAUGUGGG
rnacentral:lncRNA from 1 species